UACGUAGGGGGCAAGCGUUGUCCGGAUUUAUUGGGCGUAAAGAGCGUGUAGGCGGCUGGGUAGGUCUGCUGUGAAAACUCGGAGGCUCAACCUCGAGACGUCGGCGGAAACCCUCCAGCUAGAGUCCGGAAGAGGAGAGUGGAAUUCCUGGUGUAGCGGUGAAAUGCGCAGAUAUCAGGAGGAACACCGGUGGCGAAGGCGGCUUCCUGGACAAAAACUGACGCUGAGGCGCGAAAGCUAGGGGAGCAAACAGG
rnacentral:rRNA from 1 species